GUAAGGAAUAUUGGUCAAUGGGCGGAAGCCUGAACCAGCCAUGCCGCGUGCAGGACGACGGCCCUACGGGUUGUAAACUGCUUUUGCCCGGGAAUAACCCCCCGCUCUUGAGCGGGGCUGAACGUACCGGGAGAAUAAGGAUCGGCUAACUCCGUGCCAGCAGCCGCGGUAAUACGGAGGAUCCAAGCGUUGUCCGGAUUUAUUGGGUUUAAAGGGUGCGUAGGCGGAUCUUUAAGUCAGUGGUGAAAGCCUGCAGCUUAACUGUAGAAUUGCCAUUGAAACUGAAGAUCUUGAAUGUGGUUAAAGUAGGCGGAAUGUAUCAUGUAGCGGUGAAAUGCUUAGAUAUGAUACAGAACACCGAUAGCGAAGGCAGCUUGCUGAACCAUUAUUGACGCUGAGGCACGAAAGCGUGGGGAGCGAACAGGAUUAGAUACCCGGGUAGUCC
rnacentral:rRNA from 1 species